rnacentral:rRNA from 1 species
UACGUAGGGUGCAAGCGUUGUCCGGAAUUAUUGGGCGUAAAGAGCUCGUAGGCGGUUUGUCGCGUCUGCUGUGAAAUCCCGAGGCUCAACCUCGGGCCUGCAGUGGGUACGGGCAAACUAGAGUGCGGUAGGGGAGAUUGGAAUUCCUGGUGUAGCGGUGGAAUGCGCAGAUAUCAGGAGGAACACCGAUGGCGAAGGCAGAUCUCUGGGCCGUAACUGACGCUGAGGAGCGAAAGCGUGGGGAGCGAACAGG